GCCCCGGCUAACUACGUGCCAGCAGCCGCGGUAAUACGUAGGGGGCAAGCGUUGUCCGGAAUCAUUGGGCGUAAAGAGCGUGUAGGCGGUCCGGUAAGUCGGCUGUGAAAGUCCAGGGCUCAACCCUGGGAUGCCGGUCGAUACUGCCGGACUAGAGUUCGGAAGAGGCGAGUGGAAUUCCCGGUGUAGCGGUGAAAUGCGCAGAUAUCGGGAGGAACACCUAUGGCGAAGGCAGCUCGCUGGGACGUUACUGACGCUGAGACGCGAAAGCGUGGGGAGCAAACAGGAUUAGAUACCCUGGUAGUCCACGCCGUAAACGAUGGGCACUAGGUGUGGGAGGUGUCGACUCCUCCCGUGCCGGAGCUAACGCAUUAAGUGCCCCGCCUGGGGAGUACGGCCGCA
rnacentral:rRNA from 1 species